rnacentral:rRNA from 1 species
UACGAGGGGGGCGAGCGUUGUUCGGAAUUAUUGGGCGUAAAGGGUGCGUAGGCGGUUUGGUAAGUCUGAUGUGAAAUCUAUGGGCUCAACUCAUAGUCUGCAUCGGAAACUGCCGGGCUUGAGUGUGGGAGAGGUGAGUGGAAUUCCUGGUGUAGCGGUGAAAUGCGUAGAUAUCGAAGGAGAACCAGCGUGAAGGCGGAACUCGCGUCCACUCG